GACGAACGCUGGCGGCGUGCCUAAUACAUGCAAGUCGAGCGGACUUUCAAGAAGCUUGCUUUUUGAAAGUUAGCGGCGGACGGGUGAGUAACACGUGGGCAACCUGCCUGUAAGACGGGGAUAACUCCGGGAAACCGGGGCUAAUACCGGAUAAUAUCUUUCUUCGCAUGAAGGAAGGUUGAAAGGCGGCGCAAGCUGCCGCUUGCAGAUGGGCCCGCGGCGCAUUAGCUAGUUGGUGAGGUAACGGCUCACCAAGGCGACGAUGCGUAGCCGACCUGAGAGGGUGAUCGGCCACACUGGGACUGAGACGCGGCCCAGACUCCUACGGGAGGCAGCAGUAGGGAAUCUUCCGCAAUGGACGAAAGUCUGACGGAGCAACGCCGCGUGAGCGAAGAAGGUCUUCGGAUCGUAAGGCUCUGUUGUCAGGGAAGAACAAGUACCGUUCGAAUAGGGCGGUACCUUGACGGUACCUGACCAGAAAGCCACGGCUAACUACGUGCCAGCCGCCGCAGUAA
rnacentral:rRNA from 1 species